AUUCUGGGGUUCGUUUAGAGGUAAGUUUGGGUGCUCCGUCGCUUUGGAGGGUAACGUUUUGCCGAGAGCGGGCCGGGGGAACGGGGUGGUUUCGGAUUUAAUGGGCAGCCACGUUUUUCCCUAAUGCGGCUGCGUCCUGCGACAACUUUGAAACGUUUAAAGGCGACCCGUACUGAUUACACCUUCCUCCUUUUGUGUUCCUUUUACCCCAGGUUGAAUUUUCUCGGAGAAAGACAGGCCGGCCAUCAGGAAAACAAACAAGCCUCAGCAACAUCUAAACCCUUGAAAGGAUCCUGAGAGGGGGGAAAGGGAAAUCAGCCACCAGCCCAACCACUCGUGUCUUCUGCCCCUCCCCACCUAUCUUGCCCACCCCACCAGCCCACGCUGCUUGGGACUUGAGAUCUGUGGCCGAAGGACCGUCACCACAUAACUUCAAAAAUAAUCAACCACCUUCCCUGCCCAAACCUACCCAAUCUCACUCAUCCAGCAUUUCCGUUUUGGAAUCCACUCAGACUUUUUUUUUCAACGACCCCCUCUCCCUAAAUGGAGUUGGGCGGGGGGGAAAUGAAAACUGAGUUGGUCUUUACUUUUUUUAAAAGAGACUUUUUGAUCCAAUGAGGCCCCACAAGUAACUGAGUUUGGGUCCUGGUUGGUUGCUUUAUUUUUUUUCCUCCAAAAUUUUACCCCUCCCCCCUGAGCCCGAGGUGCUGACGUCGCAAAAAAAUUGGAUAGUAAGUGUCGAAUUUUCAAAAACCAGCCUUGAACAAGAAAUCAACGUUUCCCGUUGUGAAACCAAAAAUAAUGAGAGGAAGAAAUGAGACCAUAGAACAAAUGUAGAGUACUGGAGAGAAGGACCAAUCGGGUCUCUUAAAUCUCCAUUAAAGGUCCUGUGGGUCUAAACAGU
rnacentral:lncRNA from 1 species